CCUACGGGAGGCAGCAGUGGGGAAUAUUGCACAAUGGGGGAAACCCUGAUGCAGCGACGCCGCGUGAGUGAAGCAGUAUUUCGGUAUGUAAAGCUCUGUCAGCAGGGAAGAAAAUGACGGUACCUGACCAAGAAGCCCCGGCUAACUACGUGCCAGCAGCCGCGGUAAUACGUCGGGGGCAAGCGGUAUCCGGCUUUACUGGGUGUAAAGGGAGCGUCGACGGCAGGGCAAGUCUGGAGUGAAAUGCUGGGGCUCAACCCCCGGACUGCUCUGGAAACUGCCAGGCUGGAGUGCAGGAGAGGUAAGUGGAAUGCCUAGUGUAGCGGUGAAAUGCGUAGAUAUUAGGGGAACACCAGUGGCGAAGGCAGCUUACUGGACUGUAACUGACGUUGAGGCUCGAAAGCGUGGGGAGCAAACAGGAUUAGAUACCCUUGUAGUC
rnacentral:rRNA from 1 species